UUUUUCGAAUUUAUGACGUCAUGGACAAUCUAUAUAUUAUAAAGCUCUUAUUGGUGAUAUUUUUUUAAUGCAUUCUGAACUCAACAUUACCAUUUAUUAAUUCUUCCGGGUUCCUAGCAACACACACAUUUUGCCUUCUCAUCCAGAGGCAGAAAAGCAAGAUAAAAUGAAAAUAAAUUUGUUAAUCGUAGUCGGCGCUUGUAUCGCAACUCUUCUUCCACCACAUGCUGAAGGCUUCGGAUGUUCGAAUGACAUGUGCGGUGUCUUCCCCUUCUUCAGUCCUGUGUGCUGCAUUCUGGCACACACUUGUUGCAACAUCGCUCUCCAGAGGUUAGAGGGAACUAAGCCGCCUUUACGAGAAUGUAAAACUAACGCGAUAUCCGCCGAGCCAAGCAAUACAAGAAUAUUUCCUCUACCACCAUUACGUUUGAUUUGAAAACUGCUAGAAAGCUACAAAAUGAAACUUAGGUAACUUAAUUUGUACUGCAUGUUGAACAGUCGACAAUAUUUAAUGCGAAUGGACAGUCUACACCAUCAAUAAAUUUUUAAAUGUCUAAUAUUCGAACUGCUUCAUCACCCUGACAUAGCCCGAAUAAACAUCAAAUAGAACUGAUGGAAUAUUAUUUCAAGGCUAGUGCAACGGAAUGACUGAAAGCAAACUGUCAUAAUUUGCAUUCCUCUUUCAAUUUGCUUCUAAGAAUGUUCGGAAAGGGCUUAAAUAAAUAAAAAAUAUCAAUAUA